rnacentral:ncRNA from 1 species
UGGGAUAAUUGUUUGCACCGAGCCUUUUCCAAAAGAUUGUGUGCCAAGAACAAUGGCACGGCGAUGGUCUUGCAAGGCGCCCGCAACAAUUUCAGAAGCAGAGGCUGACCCACCAUUGAUAAGCACAAUAAUAGGUUUACCAUUUGUUAGAUCGCCUACAGUUGCAUUAUCACGUUUGGUAUCAUCUUCGUGGCGGCCACGUGUUGAAACAAUUUCACCUUUAUCCAAAAAGUAAUCAGAAACAGCGAUUGCCUGAUCUAAUAGGCCGCCAGGAUUAUUGCGUAA